rnacentral:lncRNA from 1 species
AUACAACAAUCAUAAAGUUGCAAAUAUAAUAAUCAUAAAGACUUAUGAUGUCAAUAUUAUCGAUUCUUUAAAAGCUCCAAAUUAACGGGAGGUAAUUCAUGUUUACAAUACAAUAUAAACAAAGCUAAACUAUAAAUAAAUAUACUCUUACCACUUGUGGAGUGAGUUGUACUACUGAUAAGGUUAACGGCACAUCAUAUACACAUCACAAUCAUGUGUUCUACAUAAUUACAUUACAUGGAGUCCUGAAACCAAAAUACGAACAUAAAUACUCGGACUCUUAAUUAUAAAAAUAUACAAUGUAACAAAUAUUCUUUACUCAUUCAUAUUUGUACUUGAUAA